rnacentral:rRNA from 1 species
GGGCGGUCUCCUCCUAAAGAGUAACGGAGGAGCUCGAAGGUACGCUCAGCGCGGUCGGACAUCGCGCACUGUGUGCAAAGGCAUAAGCGUGCUUGACUGCAAGAUCGACGGAUCAAGCAGGUAGGAAACUAGGACUUAGUGAUCCGGUGGUUCUGUAUGGAAGGGCCAUCGCUCAACGGAUAAAAGGUACUCCGGGGAUAACAGGCUGAUACCGCCCAAGAGUUCAUAUCGACGGCGGUGUUUGGCACCUCGAUGUCGGCUCAUCACAUCCUGGGGCUGUAGUCGGUCCCAAGGGUAUGGCUGUUCGCCAUUU